rnacentral:rRNA from 1 species
UACGAAGGGGGCUAGCGUUGCUCGGAAUUAUUGGGCGUAAAGGGCUCGUAGGCGGUCUGUCGCGUCGGGAGUGAAAACUCAGGGCUUAACCCUGAGCCUGCUUCCGAUACGGGCAGACUAGAGGUAUGCAGGGGAGAACGGAAUUCCUGGUGUAGCGGUGAAAUGCGCAGAUAUCAGGAGGAACACCGGUGGCGAAGGCGGUUCUCUGGGCAUUACCUGACGCUGAGGAGCGAAAGUGUGGGGAGCGAACAGG